GGUGGAGCGAUUUGUCUGGUUAAUUCCGAUAACGAACGAGACUCUAGCCUACUAAAUAGACGGUACUUCUUUACGAGUAUCGCGCUUCUUAGAGGGACAGGCGGCGUCUAGCCGCACGAGAUUGAGCAAUAACAGGUCUGUGAUGCCCUUAGAUGUCCGGGGCUGCACGCGCGCUACACUGAAGACAUCAACGUGCAUCUCAACCUGCUCCGGAAGGAGCGGGUAACCCGUUGAAACGUCUUCGUGAUUGGGAUAGGGAAUUGCAAUUAUUUCCCUUGAACGAGGAAUUCCCAGUAAGUACGAGUCAUCAGCUCGUGUUGAAUACGUCCCUGCCCUUUGUAC
rnacentral:rRNA from 1 species